AGGACGAACGCUGGCGGCGUGCUUAACACAUGCAAGUCGAGCGGAAAGGCCCUUCGGGGUACUCGAGCGGCGAACGGGUGAGUAACACGUGAGCAACCUGCCCUUAGCUUCGGGAUAGCUCCGGGAAACCGGAAUUAAUACCGAAUAUGACUUUGGCUGACAUCAGCAGAAGUUGAAAGUUUUUCGGCUGGGGAUGGGCCCGCGGCCUAUCAGCUUGUUGGUGGGGUGAUGGCCUACCAAGGCGACGACGGGUAGCCGGCCUGAGAGGGCGACCGGCCACACUGGGACUGAGACACGGCCCAGACUCCUACGGGAGGCAGCAGUGGGGAAUAUUGCGCAAUGGGCGGAAGCCUGACGCAGCGACGCCGCGUGAGGGAUGACGGCCUUCGGGUUGUAAACCGUCUUUCAGCUCUGACGAAGCGAGAGUGACGGUAGGAGCAGAAGAAGCACCGGCCAACUACGUGCCAGCAGCCGCGGUAA
rnacentral:rRNA from 1 species